GGCAGUGUGGUGCACUGUGGGUGAAGCACACAUCCCAUCUGUACGGUCUAUCUGUUCCCAGACGUACCUGUAGCUCAUGCGAGCGGUUAUAGAAGCCCUGGAACAGCAGUCUGUAGAUGAACUCCGGGAAGCUGACCCGCGGGAGGUCCUCCGCCGCCCGGGGCCUGUCCGCCUGGAGGGCCGAGGCUACUCUGCUGGCCCCCCUGCAGACCGCCGGGGCCGGCGCGAGAGGACGCGGCAGGAGCCGGCCGCCGUUCCCCAGCCGCACCGCUCUCCAGGACAGCCAGGCAGCCAUAACAGAGACCGCGCAGCAAAUGCACAGACGUCUCCUGUUACAUUAGAAAGAGGGGCCGAGCAGGAAGCGGCCACGGCCCACACAGGCUUAACCCUUCCCACGCACCAAAUGAGGAACCAGAGGAGCCAGGAAAUCAACAAAACAAGGACAUACUUACACACUGAGGCAUCCAGGAGCUGAGCAGAACUCCGAGGUCGUCACAGGGCAGUGGACAGGUUUCUUCUGCGAGGGAGGCCCAGAGACUCCGGUGCAGACAACACAAACACACCCAAUCCUUAAGUAUCUGCAUGAAACCUGGACAGUAGGAGCAACUUUACCAGCUUUAAACCUCUCAAAGGGAUUGAACGGGUUAAGAUCAGCCAGAUGCUGAGUUCAGGGAUGGAAAGAGAAAAUCAAGAACUCAUCAUUAAAUAUGCUUCAGUGAAAUCCAGAGGAGCAGUUGCACCCUUCAAACAUCUGACAGGAAAUAGAAGACGAAGGGUCCGUUUUGUGCAGCAGGAAGUGUCCCUGAACCUGCGCGGCGCUGAUCUCAGCGUGAGCGGCCAGGGCUCGCUCCGCGAAGCGCUCGCCCUCCGACGGGGGCUCCAGUGGGUAGAACCGCUGGAACAUCUGGC